AAAAAUAAAUAAAUAAAUAAAUAAAUAAAUAAAUAAAUAAAUAAAUCCCAUUACAAAUUUGUUCACAAUCAUAUAUUAUUAGUCUACUGCUGGUUUUCCAUAUGACAUUGUACUCUGUCCUGUAUUGUUAAAGGUUCUAAUUUAAUCUCUACAGCUGGUUUAGAGGUAUUAUUAAAGGUUCUAAUUUAAUCUUUACAGCUGGUUUAGAGGUAUUAUUAAAGGUUCUAAUUUAAUCUUUACAGCUGGUUUAGAGGUAUUAUUAAAGGUUCUAAUUUAAUCUUUACAGCUGGUUUAGAGGUAUUAUUAAAGGUUCUAAUCUAAUCUCUCCAGCUGGUUUAGAGGUAUUAUUAAAGGUUCUAAUUUAAUCUCUACAG